rnacentral:rRNA from 1 species
CGGACGGGUGAGUAACACGUGGAUAACCUACCUAUAAGACUGGGAUAACUUCGGGAAACCGGAGCUAAUACCGGAUAAUAUAUUGAACCGCAUGGUUCAAUAGUGAAAGACGGUUUUGCUGUCACUUAUAGAUGUAUCCGCGCCGCAUUAGCUAGUUGGUAAGGUAACGGCUUACCAAGGCAACGAUGCGUAGCCGACCUGAGAGGGUGAUCGGCCACACUGGAACUGAGACACGGUCCAG